rnacentral:rRNA from 1 species
AGGAAAAGAAACUAACAAGGAUUCCCCUAGUAACGGCGAGUGAAGAGGGAAGAGCUCAAAUUUUAANUCUGCCUUGUUCCAAGGUCGAGUUGUAAUUUGAAGAAGCGUUUUCUUGGGCUCGCGGCCGGUAGAAGUUCUUUGGAACAGGACAUCAUAGAGGGUGACAAUCCCGUCCGUGACCGGUCGUGCGUUCAUCUACGAUACGCUUUCAAAGAGUCGAGUUGUUUGGGAUUGCAGCUCCAAACGGGUGGUAAACAUCACCUAAGGCUAAAUAUUGGCGAGAGACCGAUAGCGAACAAGUACCGUGAGGGAAAGAUGAAAAGAACUUUGAAAAGAGAGUUAAACAGUACGUGAAAUUGUUGAAAGGGAAACGAUUGAAGUCAGUCGUGCUGGCGCGAAAUCAACCCUCUCGUCUUGAGAUCACAUGGCGCGACGAGCCUCAAAACCGUCACGAAGCGUGAACUCUUGACGAAAAGGUGCACUUUCGUGUCCGCUGGUUAACAUCAAUUUCGAACGUCAUAAAAAGGCUGGAGGGAUGUGGCUCCUUCGGGAGUGUUAUAACCUUUAGCGGAAUGUGGCGUUCGGGAUUGAGGAUUGCAACGAAUACCUUCAGGGCUGUUCCACCUGGCUUCUCAUUGGUAUCCUGGUGACGACAGCUUGCUGACGUCGUUAGGAUCAGCUUCUGAACAGGCUAGAGUGUGAGCAAAUUCGUUAAGGAUGUUAACGUAAUGGCUUUAAACGACCCGUCU